rnacentral:rRNA from 1 species
CACGCCGCGUGAGUGAUGAAGGCUUUCGGGUCGUAAAACUCUGUUGUUAGGGAAGAACAAGUGCUAGUUGAAUAAGCUGGCACCUUGACGGUACCUAACCAGAAAGCCACGGCUAACUACGUGCCAGCAGCCGCGGUAAUACGUAGGUGGCAAGCGUUAUCCGGAAUUAUUGGGCGUAAAGCGCGCGCAGGUGGUUUCUUAAGUCUGAUGUGAAAGCCCACGGCUCAACCGUGGAGGGUCAUUGGAAACUGGGAGACUUGAGUGCAGAAGAGGAAAGUGGAAUUCCAUGUGUAGCGGUGAAAUGCGUAGAGAUAUGGAGGAACACCAGUGGCGAAGGCGACUUUCUGGUCUGUAACUGACACUGAGGCGCGAAAGCGUGGGGAGCAAACAGGAUUAGAUACCCUGGUAGUCCACGCCGUAAACGAUGAGUGCUAAGUGUUAGAGGGUUUCCGCCCUUUAGUGCUGAAGUUAACGCAUUAAGCACUC